rnacentral:misc_RNA from 1 species
GAAAUGCGAUAACUAGUGUGAAUUGCAGAAUUCCGCGAAUCAUCGAGUCUUUGAACGCACAUUGUGCCCCCUGGUAUUCCGGGGGGCAUGCCUGUCCGAGCGUCAUUGCUGCCCAUCAAGCACGGCUUGUGUGUUGGGUCGUCGUCCCCUCUCCGGGGGGGACGGGCCCCAAAGGCAGCGGCGGCACCGCGUCCGAUCCUCGAGCGUAUGGGGCUUUGUCACCCGCUCUGUAGGCCCGGCCGGCGCUUGCCGAACGCAAAUCAAUCUUUUUCCAGGUUGACCUCGGAUCAGGUAGGGAUACCCGCUGAACUUAAGC